rnacentral:rRNA from 1 species
AUACGUAGGUGGCAAGCGUUGUCCGGAUUUAUUGGGCGUAAAGCGAGCGCAGGCGGUUCCUUAAGUCUGAUGUGAAAGCCCACGGCUCAACCGUGGAAGGUCAUUGGAAACUGGGGAACUUGAGUGCAGAAGAGGAGAGUGGAAUUCCAUGUGUAGCGGUGAAAUGCGUAGAUAUAUGGAGGAACACCAGUGGCGAAGGCGGCCUUCUAGGCUGUAUCUGACGCUCAGACACGAAAGCUAGGGUAGC